AUUGAACGCUAGCGGGAUGCUUUACACAUGCAAGUCGAACGAGGGGCGGACGGGUGAGUAAUAGAUCGGAACGUGCCCAGUAACGGGGGAUAACUACUCGAAAGAGUGGUUAAUACAGCAUACUAUUGGAGCGGCCGAUAUCUGAGUAGCUAGUUGGUGGGGUAAAGGCUCACCAAGGCAACGAUCCGUAGCUGGUUUGAGAGGAAGACAAGCAAAACGGGGACUGAGACACGGCCCAGACUCCUACGGGAGGCAGCAGUGGGGAAUUUUGUACAAUGGGCGAAAGCCUGAUCCAGCCAUCCCGCGUGUAUGAGAAGGCCUUCGGGUUGUAAAGUCCUUUUGGCAGAGAAGCGGUAUCUGCAGAAUAAGCACCGGCUAACUACGUGCCAGCAGCCGCGGUAAUUC
rnacentral:rRNA from 1 species